GACAGAGGGUGCAAACGUUGUUCGGAAUUACUGGGCGUAAAGCGUGUGUAGGCGGUCCGCUAAGUCGGGUGUGAAAGCCCUGGGCUCAACCCAGGAAGUGCACUCGAAACUGGCGGGCUAGAGUACUGGAGAGGUUGGUGGAAUUCUCGGUGUAGAGGUGAAAUUCGUAGAUAUCUGGAGGAACACCGGUGGCGAAGGCGGCAUCCUGGACCAACACUGACGCUGAGUGAGCGAAAGCCAGGGGAGCAAACGGG
rnacentral:rRNA from 1 species